rnacentral:rRNA from 1 species
GACGAACGCUGGCGGCGUGCUUAACACAUGCAAGUCGAACGGAAAGGCCCUGCUUUUGUGGGGUGCUCGAGUGGCGAACGGGUGAGUAACACGUGAGUAACCUGCCCUUGACUUUGGGAUAACUUCAGGAAACGGGGGCUAAUACCGGAUAGGAGCUCCUGCUGCAGGGUGGGGGUUGGAAAGUUUCGGCGGUUGGGGCUGGACUCGCGGCUUAUCAGCUUGUUGGUGGGGUAGUGGCUUACCAAGGGUUUGACGGGUAGCCGGCCUGAGAGGGUGACCGGCCACAUUGGGACUGAGAUACGGCCCAGACUCCUACGGGAGGCAGCAGUGGGGAAUAUUGCACAAUGGGCGGAAGCCUGAUGAAGCAACGCCGCGUGCGGGAUGACGGCCUUCGGGUUGUAAACCGCUUUCGCCUGUGACGAAGCGUGAGUGACGGUAAUGGGUAAAGAAGCACCGGCUAACUACGUG